UUAUCAUGAUGGUAAUAUAAAAUAAGCAAUUGUGAGAAUGUGGUUGAAAAUUCUGUAUUUCGGGAUUUAUGCUGUGGAAUUUCUACACGCGCAUGCGCAGUGACGUUGUUUUUCAACCGUCGCUCUCCCAGACCUCUGUCGGAUAAUGCACCUCUCUGCCUCAGAUGAUGGAAGUCGAGGAACAAAUUACAGUCCCUCUAACAGUUUUACACCGAGUUCUUGCAACUGUCUUCAUAGACGGAAAGGAAAUAUGGAGAAAACUAUCCUCAGUCAAACCUGAACUGUCUCGACUAUCUCUUGAUUGAAUAUUGAAAUUUGACACAGAUUUUCAAGAGUUCAUUGACACUGAUGUAAAUGCAGGAGUACAGGAGCUUGACAAAUUUCAAAUAAAUUAUAUUGCAAGCAACACCCCCGACUCAUUAGAAAGUGUGCACUCAUUACAGUGUCCUUUAACAGAUUCAACUCAGACUGGCACCACAACUAGUUUGCUGACGCUGCUUGAAGAAAAAGCCUCUACAAUCCUGAGAGAACAUGAAGAGACAAAGACGCUGUCCAUUUUCUCAUGAAAGAUUCUUGUUAUAGUUGCUGUCAGUGACCUUGUAGAGAAACAUGCAUUCUAUCCAAUUUGGUACAGAAAAACUGGCACUACCAAAAGAGAUUGUGUCAUUGUUCCCCUCGUUAAGGAUUCAGGUGCCCUUUGGUGAAAACGAGGGACAUGAGCAUUUUUUGCUGGGCCAUCACACAGUGGAUUUAUUGAAAUGAGAUUACGUAACAUCAGAUGAAAGCUUCAACAGAGCCAGCGGGUGUACAGUUUGAAACAUCGUCAUUGUACACCGCAACCUUCUUUACCAAGUCCAGAUGAAACUGUACCAAAUGGACAUUGAAUCCGGAAAUGGGACGGGACGAUAAUUCCAAAACUCAAGAAAAUAGCAUCCUUGGAGAGGAAAAAUGACAUCAGACACUUACUGGAGAAGGCUGACAAUCAGCAUGAUGAUGAGCUGUGUUACACUAUGUUGAAGAUCCUUAUUCAUCUUCUUCCACCCACUGCAUCUGUGAGAAGUGUAGCUGGGAGUAAAUGCUGUGUGACUUCUGCUGUGUCCUACCUGUUGGUACAAGUUCCGGUAUAUUUUUUUAUUGUGUUAGCUUGUGAUAAAUAAAAUUGUUUCUAAUGCAGCAACAUUUUCUAAUGCUUUUCAUUGUUUCAUUCC